rnacentral:sRNA from 1 species
UACCAGUUACAAGGACCUACGUAUCAAG